rnacentral:rRNA from 1 species
CGGAGGAUCCAAGCGUUAUCCGGAAUCAUUGGGUUUAAAGGGUCCGUAGGCGGUUUAGUAAGUCAGUGGUGAAAGCCCAUCGCUCAACGGUGGAACGGCCAUUGAUACUGCUAGACUUGAAUUAUUAGGAAGUAACUAGAAUAUGUAGUGUAGCGGUGAAAUGCUUAGAGAUUACAUGGAAUACCAAUUGCGAAGGCAGGUUACUACUAAUGGAUUGACGCUGAUGGACGAAAGCGUGGGUAGCGAACAGGAUUAGAUACCCUGGUAGUCCACGCCGUAAACGAUGGAUACUAGCUGUUGGGAGCAAUUUCAGUGGCUAAGCGAAAGUGAUAAGUAUCCCACCUGGGGAGUACGGGCGCAAGCCUG